rnacentral:tmRNA from 1 species
CAAGCGAAUGUAAAGACUGACUAAGCAUGUAGUACCGAGGAUGUAGGAAUUUCGGACGCGGGUUCAACUCCCGCCAGCUCCACCA